rnacentral:rRNA from 1 species
CAGUAGCCGCGGGAAUACGAAGGGGGCUAGCGUUGCUCGGAAUGACUGGGCGUAAAGGGCGCGUAGGCGGCGGCCAAAGUCAGGCGUGAAAUUCCCGGGCUCAACCUGGGGACUGCGCUUAAUACAGGCAGUCUAGAGUGAGGAAGAGGGUUGUGGAAUUCCCAGUGUAGAGGUGAAAUUCGUAGAUAUUGGGAAGAACACCGGUGGCGAAGGCGGCAACCUGGUCCUUGACUGACGCUGAGGCGCGAAAGCGUGGGGAGCAAACAGGAUUAGAUACCCCAGUAGUCCCUGUCUCUUAUAC